AGGGAUAAAAUGUAAAUAAAUAAAUAAGCAAAGACACCGCCCUAACAUGCAGGUAAGCUGUUAUAAUAAUACCAAAUGAGCAAAUAGAUAAGACACUGCCCCAAGAUACAGAAUACAGUUGAUUCUGGUAACCACUUUUGAUCAAUGCAAUCUCCUUUGUCUUCAAAAAUUUCAUAAAAAAAAUAUGAGCUACUGCUAUGGCCAGUAAAACCAAAACUGAAAGGCCCAAAUAGCUACUGCUAUGCCCGGUAACUUCAAAUAGAAUUGUAGCAACAGCAAUUCCCAUGUCAAAUCAUCAUUAUGAGCUUACAUCAGAUUACAUACUCAUCAUCUUCAUCUUGUUCUGCAUCUCUUAAAAGGUAACAAUUCACUCAAGACAAGGGUGAAACAAGAAUGAUUCAGAAAAAUUUCAGCAAAUGAUUGAGAUGUCCCGUCUUGUGUCAUGUGUGAACAACAAAAUGAGUCGGAAAGAGGCAUUGAUAUACACUAUUAGCCAAGUUAUAUGACCUGAAAAAAACUCUGAAUAGGUUUCCAAUCUUUGCUAAAUCAGUGAACUUAAUCACAACUGAUUUAUCCUGCUUACCCAUGUUAACACUAACAACUAUACUUUUGUUCAGUAAUAGAACCUGAGAUGCUCUCAAAGAUAAGUAUACAUGUAUGAAGCCGAUGAUGUUAUUCCACAGGAUAUUAUGGAUAUGCACCAACCUUUCUCACCCAUAAAGACAAUCAAACAAAUGACUUCCCAAAACUAGACUCCACCCG
rnacentral:lncRNA from 1 species